rnacentral:lncRNA from 1 species
GGAUGCCUUAACUACAAAUGAAGUUUAAAUUAGAGACUGCUUUCUUGAUUCCUUUCUGUCAAGCUGAUGGCAACUCCAGCCUUUGUGCCUCACUGUGGAAUGGCAAGACCUACAUGUGUCAUCCUGGCCCUACUACAGACAGGACAAAAAUGUCUUCUGAGACAUUCGGGGUGCCAGAAUAGAGGCAGAACUUCAGAACCUCCCAUUCCAACCUGGAAUUCCUUCUGGACUGCAAAUUAGAGUUGAAAA